UAGCCACCUUCUUCUGGUCCCCGACAUCUCUUAUUGCCCGGUGUCUCUCUGAUCUUUUCCCUAUACCCCUAGAUCAGCUCCAUAUCUCUGCCUGGGUGACUCAUCGCUUCCUGAAUUUGCCAAGGGCUGCUGUGGAAGCCAAGGGGGAUGAGUCAGCACUUGAGAGGGGAAGUGGCGGUUGCUUUGUGAGCUGUCAGCAAUAGGAGGCAGCAGACUUUGGCCCAGAGGAACAGCAAAGGAGCGCUGCGGCUGUACUUGGAGGAGAUAAGCAGGGAGCGGUGGUGAAAUUACAACCCCGAGCCUGUUGCCGUUGGCACCGACGGCAAAGUCCAUAGAACGCCACCUGCUUUCAUGGGGGAAUGUCUCUUUUACAUUCCUCUUUUGCAAGUGGCAGGGGAGACGUAUGUCACUUGUACCCUCUGAACCUAUCAGGACAGCUCUGCACUGUGUUGUUUCACCUUGCAAGAGUCCAAUCAGUCCAGAAAGAAGGACAUUUCCCUAAAUCCAUACUGAGUUUCUUCUCUCAGAAAACAAGCAGACGGGAUCACUACCCUGUGAUGAUGGAGAGUGAGGAGUACAUUUAGCAUCUUUGCCCUCUGAUCA